rnacentral:rRNA from 1 species
UAGGGAAUCUUCCGCAAUGGGCGAAAGCCUGACGGAGCAACGCCGCGUGAGUGAUGAAGGUCUUCGGAUCGUAAAACUCUGUUAUUAGGGAAGAACAAAUGUGUAAGUAACUAUGCACGUCUUGACGGUACCUAAUCAGAAAGCCACGGCUAACUACGUGCCAGCAGCCGCGGUAAUACGUAGGUGGCAAGCGUUAUCCGGAAUUAUUGGGCGUAAAGCGCGCGUAGGCGGUUUUUUAAGUCUGAUGUGAAAGCCCACGGCUCAACCGUGGAGGGUCAUUGGAAACUGGAAAACUUGAGUGCAGAAGAGGAAAGUGGAAUUCCAGGUGUAGCGGUGAAAUGCUCAGCGUUAUGGAGGAACACCAGUGGCGAAGGCGACUUACUGGUCCGUAACUGACGCUGAUGUGCGAAAGCGUGGGGAUCAAACAGG